GCAUAUCAAUAAGCGGAGGAAAAGAAACCAACAGGGAUUGCCUCAGUAACGGCGAGUGAAGCGGCAACAGCUCAAAUUUGAAAUCUGGCCUCUCGGGGUCCGAGUUGUAAUUUGUAGAGGAUGUUUUGGGCACCGCCUCGGUCUAAAUUUCUUGGAACAGAAUGUCAAAGAGGGUGAGAAUCCCGUCUUGGAUCGGCGGUAGGGCCUGUGUAAAACUCCUUCGACGAGUCGAGUUGUUUGGGAAUGCAGCUCAAAUUGGGUGGUAAAUUUCAUCUAAAGCUAAAUAUUGGCCAGAGACCGAUAGCGCACAAGUAGAGUGAUCGAAAGAUGAAAAGCACUUUGAAAAGAGAGUUAAACAGUAUGUGAAAUUGUUGAAAGGGAAGCGCUUGCAACCAGACUUGCGCGCGGUGGUUCCCCUCGCCUUUUGGCUAGGGUACUCCGCCGCGUCCAGGCCAACAUCGGUUCUGGGGGCCAGUUAAAGGCCCUGGGAAUGUACCUACCCACGGGUAGACUUAUAGACCAGGGUGCCAUGUGGCCUCCCGGGACCGAGGAACGCGCUUCGGCUCGGAUGUUGGCGUAAUGGUUGUCAGCGACCCGUCUUGAAACACGGACC
rnacentral:rRNA from 1 species